rnacentral:misc_RNA from 1 species
GCCGCAACGACUUUUCUCUCUCAAUAAUUUUCUUUUGUUGAUUCUCUCGUCUCUCUCCUUUACAAAUUUUUUCCUUCUCUGUCUAUAAAACCGAACGGGACCGUCCUGUCCUAAUUUCUUUCCUCUAUCAUAUGCAUCGACCCCUUUUAUCUUUCUCCUUUCUUUCUUUCUGUUAAUAAUAACAAGAAAUAAACAGAGCUUCACUUCACAAGUCCUAUUUUGGAGGAGCUGUACAGCUGAACACCUGAGGUAUAUCACCUCUUUCUAUGCCUUCUCUGCUCUGCUCUUUUUCCUUUUUUCUCCUUCGCGUUGAUUCUCCGCCGGCUGUUGGCUGAGUUUUAAUUGUGUUCUUUAAAAAAAAAAACUUCUUGAAAGCGUUUGGUUUCAGAUCUAUGACGGUAGCUAAAUUUGGAAACUUUUUAACAGAUUUUGGUUUUCUGGUUCGUGAAUUAAGCGAAAUCUCAAGUCUUUCUUUGUUCCUCUUCAAAAUUCAAUUGAACGUGCUUGCUUUGAAAAUUAAUUUUGAGAUAAAGUGUCAAAUAUGUCAAGUUGGCAAAUCGUUGUCUUCGAGCUAGCUAUUUCUUUUUUCUGGUUUGGGUUAAUUUAUUGAGUCUUGUUUGACUAGAUCUCGAUGUUUAACAGUUCAUACACGCUUUAGAUCUGUUAUAAAUUAUAUAAUAAACUCCUUAGCUAAAUUUUUCUGCUGCUUCUGCCCAGGACUUCUCUUCAUAGAGAUCUUUAGGGGG